GGACUGAGCACCGGAAGGGGCAAGAGAGGAGUCGCAUGUGGGCGGAGAAGGCCUGGUGGAAACACCCGAGCUCAGAGCUGCAGGCUCAGCAGAUGGGCAGGGCCUCCCUGGGGGGGCGGGGUCCCAGGGCACAGCUCCACCUCCCUAGGGGGGAGGUUCCCGGGGCACAGCUCCGCCUCCCUCGUGGGGGCCGGGCUGCCUGCGGGGGUGGUUUUCCCAGGACACAGCUCUGUCCCCGCUGGUACCCCCCAGCGUUCCCGCCUGGGCUGUGACCCACGAGGCAGCUCACAGCUGCACUCUGGAUCCCCCGCGCUUUCCUGCCCCCGGCGACCCCUGCACAGGCGCGGGGGGGGGGGGGGGCGCUGCUCCUCCCCAGGGACCUGCUUUGGGGAGGUGGGCGGGUGGAGGUGACGCCGUGACUUCCGAGGCCGGCUCACACCCCCACCCUGGGUCUCCUUGUUGGGAGGAAGCCCCAGCAACAGCGCUGUGGCUGCAGGGGCCCAGGCGACGGCCGGACUGGAGCAAAGCGCCCAGGGUUGCCUGCGAGUCGCCGAUGAAGUCAGACGCCGUCUGGGCUGGGAGGUGUCUCCGUCCUCUGAACCCAGGCGCCGGCUGUGGAACCGAAUGGCGCACCUGCGGCUGCAGAAGUGACCUACUCUAACUGAAGCUGAACUUCAGGCCCCCAGCGCAGAAUGAGUGAACGAGUGGAUGUGAGAGUCUCCCAUGCUCCCGCCAGUCUCAGUCAGAACCGCUUCCAGCCAAAUAUGAGCAUUGCAUUGUGGGAAUCACCACGCAGACACGUACCCAGUACAAUAGCACGAAGGGUGUAGGGCGGAAAGGGGAUUUUAUUGUCAUCAGUUUUUACAUUUUUAAAGGUUUAUUUAUUUAUUUGAAAGGCAGAGUUAGAGAGAGAGAAAGGGAAAGAGAGGUCUUCCAUCCUCUGGUUCACUCCCCAGAUGGCCGCAACAACUGGAGCUGCACCAAUCCGAAGCCAGGAGCCAGGAGCUUCUUCCGGGUCUCCCACGCGGGUGCAGGGGCCCAAGCACUUGGGGCAUCUUCUACUGCUUUCUCAGGCCACAGCAGGGGGCUGGAUUGAAGUGGAGCAGCCAGGACUCGAACUGGUUUCCAUAU
rnacentral:lncRNA from 1 species